GGAUAGCCAGAUCCCAAGGGCGUUGGGAGCUGCCUGUAUUGGUGCAGGAACGAUGAGCAGUGUCCUUGGGGGCAGAAAUGCUGCAGCAAUGGCUGUGGCCGUGUCUGCUUGGGGGCCGUAUGAAGAGAGCAGCCCCCAGAGUGACCCCAUGGACAGCGGGGCCUGCGGGUCCUGGACCCUCCCACGGACCCGUCCUGGCUCCAGACACCGAUGGGGCACGUGACCCCAGCACCAGCAAUCUGCUUCCCGCACCGCCCUCCCCACACGAUUGCAGCUCCUUCCUGCAGCAAUAAAGACCCCGCUUUGCGGCUUCCUGCAACCUC